CAAGAGCGUAUGUCAAAGUUGUUGCAGUUAAAAAGCUCGUAGUUGAACCUUGGGUUUGGUUGGCCGGUCCGCUUUUUUGCGAGUACUGGAUUCAACCGAGCCUUUCCUUCUGGCUAACCAGUCGUUUCGGCGGCUGGCGAACCAGGAUUUUUACUUUGAGAAAAUUAGAGUGUUCAAAGCAGGCAUUAGCUUGAAUAUAUUAGCAUGGAACAAUAGAAUAGGACGUUAUGGUUCUAUUUUGUUGGUUUCUAGGACCAUCGUAAUGAUUAAUAGGGACGGUCGGGGGCAUCAGUAUUCAGUUGUCAGAGGUGAAAUUCUUGGAUUUACUGAAGACUAACUACUGCGAAAGCAUUUGCCAAGGACGUUUUCAUUAA
rnacentral:rRNA from 1 species